rnacentral:snoRNA from 2 species
UGGUGAUGAUGAUAAAACUUAGGCUUGUUUCUCAAAACAUUUGCAGUUGCCGCCUAAGAGCUUUCGCCCCGCCAGGCUUGAGAGCUAAUGCUGCUAAUUCCUUCCUUGGAUGUCUGAGCCA